UCAGUAUAUAAUAAAGGAGUAACAAAAUACUAAGCCUAUAAAGUUGUCUCAAGCAAAGUAAAUAAACACAGUGUUAGUAAAUAAAACUCAACAUGAGGAUAUAAAUUAAAUCGGAAGGCAAUAACGAAUAAUAAACUUGGCUUAGAAGCUUAGACUCCUAUUUUUAUGGGACUCUGAGGCUCUGCACUCCUAUUAGCAUUUGAACCGAUGUUGGAUCAAAGUGAGUUCCAUUGAGGAACUCCAACUCUCGAGUUGAGAUAAAACAAAAGAAGAAGAUAAGGAUUAGAGAUUCGAACUUAAGGGAACGUCGAUAAACAUGUUAAGAUGAUAUAUAUUUUAAGACCGUGCAAUAAUUAAAAAUUCCAUUAUGAUGAGUUGUUCAUGAAAGAUAAAUUCUAACCUGGAUCCAAUAAAAUAAAUAACCGACUAUCGGUAUGAAAAACAGGAUAAAAGUACCAAAUCAAACCAAAAUUUCCAGCAAAAGACACGGGAAAUUUCAAUUUAAUUGUCACACACGCACACCUGCACGUUUAUUCUACUAGCAUGCCAUUUCCUUUCUUGCAGGUAACAUACAUACAUUCAUACCCAUAAUGCAAUCCAACACACAAUAUUAAUUCCAUACAUAUUUAGCUUUGAUAAAAAAAAAGAUUUUUCUACAUAUGCACGCCCAAGACGUUAGAGUGCACUGCAUUCUUAAAUCAUUCUAACCAACACCCAAUUGCUUUUAAAGAAUCCUAAUGAUACUAUUAUCAAAAUAAUAGACAUACAUUCACCUCUUCACUUAUGAAGUAAACAAACUUUAUCUCAAAACUGAAAUUUGCCAAAUACAAGCAUAUUAUGCCAAGGUUUCAAAAAUUUCCAUGACCUUCCCAAUAGUUUUAGAAAAAUACGUCUCUACUGAAAGCCACUUGGAAAAUAUUUGAAUAGUUUGAAAAAGAUACUAUUUACGAAAAUCAGAUUUUAAAGAUUAAAAUAUCCUCAAACUAUGGAGACCUGAAACAAGAUUAAAUUUGGGGAGUCGAUUGGCGAAAGAAGUGAAUGACAACAUCAUGGCCAGCAAAGAACAAAACAAAAGAGCAAUAAAUAAUCAUCUGAAAAAGAAAAAAAAACUUCCUUCAUUCCAAACGAGACAAACAAAAUCACCCACUGAUGUUCUAAAUUUUUUUAUCUCUUAUAUACAAUGAAAAUGAAUGAGCUAGUUAUGACAACUAAUAGAGAAAACUCAACAAGUAUACAACACAAACAAACUUCAACUAUAGAUUAUUGAUUUUUUUUAUGAUAGUUUCUUGGGUAACCAAUAAUAAUACCGAAACGCGAUGAAUAACACAUAUACGUAUAUACACGCAACGAAGCAAGAAAACACGAUAGACAUGACACUUCUAGAAUAUUUGGCUUCCAUCAUCCCUAAUCCAAACUUAAUAGAAAAUAGAAUAUGAACUUGGUAGAUGAAAAAAAAAUUAUCAACGCUAUAUCCGAAUUUGAACCAAGGUAACCAUGUGUUCAACAACCAAUGAGUAAACGAAACAAAAGAGAUAAAAUGAAUGAGAGGGUUUGUUCCUACCUUUUUUCGGGCAGCAAGACUGAAACUUUAAUGUCAAAGUUUUUCGGUGAUGGUGAACAGAACUAAGACUCCAAACUUGAAAAAGAAAAAAUAAAAAAGAUACAAUAAAUUCUUCGGCAAAUUUUCUUUCCUUCCCUACUUAAAUCUUUUUUUUUUCAGAUCUGAAUUUUUCUUUUUUCUCUCUUUACUGCUUUCUACUCUUUUUGAUGUUUAUCCCAAUUUUCUUCUCUCCUUCCUCUUAUUUUUAAAACUUUCCCUAGCUUUUUUCAUUUCAAUUUUUGCCUAAUCUGAAACUUCUUAAGAUCUUUUAACACACUCUUAUUUUUUACUUUCCUCUCAACCUCGAACCCUUUUUUUUUCAUUUCUUCAAACUUCUCUUUUUUUUUUCCAAACUCUUUUAUCUCAAAAACCUCUGAAAACUAAGCUUUUUCUCUUUGAAUUUUCUCACAAAUUUUCUUCCUAUCUUUCUUGCAUUUUUCCCCCCUUCUAUCUCAGAAACCUCUUUCUAAUUUUCCCUAAAGACGAAUUAAAAAAAAUCUUUUCCUUUCACUGAUUUUUGUUGCUCUCUCAAUCUUGAAUCUUUUUUUUUUCAUUUUUUUCUCCCCCUCAAUAGGUGAAGAAUACCCGUAUUCAUAGGUAAAAUUCUAAAUUGAAUGUCCGAUUUGCAACUUGAUUUAAGCAGGAGUGAUGAGAAGAAAACUUGGUUUGAAAAUUGAUACGAAGUUCUACAACAAAUCUUUUUUUUUUCAGGCCAUUAAAUGGAGAUUUCACUCCUUCUUUCUGUUGUUAUACAGAUUUGGGACUGAUUUUUUUGCUCUUGGAGGAUUUGCGAGCUGGAGGGGCUGAUUUGGUAGGGAUUCUUGCAGGUGUGGCAACAACCAUGUCUGCCAUAGAUGCAGGCUACGAAGAUUUGGGGUUUUCUAGUUCGAGGGGUGGAGGAGAUAAGUGGAGAGGAUGAGGCAAAAAAGGGAAGUCAUUG
rnacentral:lncRNA from 1 species